rnacentral:rRNA from 1 species
UACGUAGGGUCCGAGCGUUGUCCGGAAUUAUUGGGCGUAAAGAGCUCGUAGGCGGUCUGUUGCGUCGGUUGUGAAAACCUGGGGCUCAACUCCAGGCCUGCAAUCGAUACGGGCAGACUAGAGUUCGGUAGGGGAGACUGGAAUUCCCGGUGUAGCGGUGAAAUGCGCAGAUAUCGGGAGGAACACCAGUAGCGAAGGCGGCUCGCUGGGCCAUUCCUGACGCUGAGACGCGAAAGCUAGGGGAGCGAACAGG